ensembl:lncRNA
UUUCAGAAAUGUGUAUUGCCAUAAAACCUGCCCCAUUCAGUUCCUCUUACAUCAGAAUGGCUACCCAUGGUGCUUGGACAAAGUCACAUUCAAUGACCUCUGAUUACUGCAACAAUCUCCAUGUGACUAAGGACAAAUGGAAAAGAUGAGGCUGUUCUGUAACAAACCAGGGCUGACUUUAACCAAAGACCUGGGAUUGAGUCUGCUCUCACGAUAUUGGAUGUUGGUUUGCAUGGUUGUGAGGAAAGGAAUCUGAAAGAGAAACCCUAUAAAUGGCCAGCAUCAAAGACCACAGCCCCUCUCCACGGUCAAUCCGUGCAUUCAUAGAAUGGUGAUGUCUUGAGAGCCCAAUGGAAAUGGCCCAAAAUGCUGAGAGAGGUUUGGUUGUUAUCGCCGUUGCUCUGUGAGGAUUUAUCUAAAAUCUCUCACAUACCUUACUUGUGAGUUAUUUCUCAUUCUCACAAAAACUCUACAACUCCAGUAUUAUUUCUCAUUUUACAAUUGAGAAAACUGAGACUCAGAAGCUUUGCCCAGCAUCAGGAGCUUAUGGGAGGCCGCACAGAAUCCACGUUUUCCCACCUUCUGUACUUUAUGUAGUAACCUCUUAUUUUGACAGAAUUGUUCUGUUUGCUUAGCUUUUGACACCUGUAUUCCUCACACCUGUCUUAUGUGCCUGGAGAGAAAAAAGUUUAAGGAUUGCAGCUCAAACUACAGUGACUAGGGAGUAGAAAGAAGUCAUGUUUUUCUCCAAGCCAGACAAGAAAUCCUGCAAGAGCAUGAACAUCUCAGCUGUUCUCGGCCUGCAGUUGUCUUCUUUGAAGCAGGGUCACCCAUGGUGGACAGGUUUCAGUGGAGCUUCCAGACUAAGUCAGACUAGGAAGAAGGAACUGGCUGCUCACUUCUGAAAAAACUGGCCGUGAAAACCCUGUGAACAGCAGCAGAGCAUUGUCCAACACAGCUCCAGAAGGUGCAGUUCUGGAAGGACGCUGCGUGUGAGUUUGGCCUGAGAAAGGAGACAGGAUCAACGUCUUCCCUCUCUCCCCACUAUGAUGGGCUAAGCUGUGUCUGCCGACGUUCACGUGUUGAAGUCCUAACUCUCAGUGUGACUGCAUUUGGACAUGUCGCCUUUAGGGAGAUAAUGAAGGUUAAAUGAGGUCAUCAGGGUGGCUCCUGAUGUGAUAGGACUGGUGUCCUUACGAGAAGAGGAAGAGACUCCAGAGGCCACUCUCUCUCUCUCUGCACACACGGAGGCAAGAUCAGGUGAGGAGAUCUACACGCCAUCUACACGCCAAGGAGAGAGGUCUGAGGAGGAACCACCCUUGAUCUUGGACUUCCAGCCUCUAGAACUGUGAGGAAAUAAACAUCUGCUGCUGAAGCCGCCCAGACUGUGGUACUUUGUUAUGGCAGCCGAGCUGACUGAGACGCCCGCCUUGCCCUUCUCCCUGUCCUGCCUCCUUUCUACUCUUGCUUCUGGUUUCUCCAGGGAGGACAGGGGGAGGAGAAGAGACAAAGGUUGAAAAGUUUGACUUAAGUGACACGGUUGAAGCUCAUACCCCUUGGCUAUAGCAGGUGGCCACAUGUCCGAGAGAGAGAGAGAGAGAGAGAGAGAGAGAGAGAGCGAGGCAGGUUUGUGGAUUCUUCAGAACCCUCCACCUCUGGGCUUGCUAACCAGCCAUUGCCUGAGAUGGGCAAGGAUCUCCUCACCUCUGGCUCCAGGCCGUCUCUCUUCACACUGUUCACUCUUUCAGGCCACCUUAACUCUAGAAAUUUCAUCAGUCAGAAUGGGCCAAGUUAGCUGUAGAAACAAAUGCCAACAUCUCGGUGGCUUAUUCCAUGUUCCUUGACCCUUGUAGUUUGGCUGAGGGCUCUGUUCUGUGUCAUCUGCAUGCCAGGCCCCAGGCCGAAAGAGCAGCCACCGAUACUCAUUGACAGCCAUCAUAACAGAGAAAGAGGC